ACUGCAGAUAUUCUAAUAUUGUUCAAUGAUUUAAUUUAUCUCAAACAAUAUUAGUUUUGAAUAUAGGUUUUAUCUGCCUUAUUAUUGGAUUAAAUUAUGCUUAAUUCAGCCUUUUUUGUGUGCAUCGGUACUGCUUCUGUCUCUGGUAUUUUUCAGAAUCUUCUUCUUGAUAUGCUGCUGAUGUGAACACGCUUUGGGGAGCUGAAAUUGCAAAAGAUGGAAAGUUUCGAAGAAAGCAUCUGACUAAUCUCUGAAAAGCGGAAGUUGUUUUCUGAUGUGUUGCUGCCUACUUUCAAUUAACUUGCUGGCCUAGUAGAGAAUAAAGUUUGCGCCAUUCUCCAGAUUCAAGUGUUGCCGAGAUUUAAAAGGAAAUUGAAAGGGCCAUUUUGUAUUUCUCAAAUGAGAUGAGACUGAUCUGUUCCUCGAAGAUGAUUUCAUUCCCAAAGAUGUGGUUAGAAUCUCAGAACUUUCUGGUCUACGUAAAAUAUCCUGAUUCGUGCGUUAAAAAUCCCCAUACCGUCGAGCUAACCGUGGAAGGUUUUCAUGGUUCCCUCUCCAUGUAACGCUAAUGCGGGUUAGUUGCAGCGUAAGUCCUCCAUGAAGGCUAUUUCGAUCCAGGAGUCCUCUCGUCUUCUGGUUUCAAGUGUGCGAUCUUAUGGAGCUGAACAGUCAUAAUCGUAAACCCAGAAAUGGGUCUGCCAUCCAACCCUGGUUGUGCAAUAAAUUAAAUUCAGUUGGAUAUCUCUUUUUGCACUAAGCAAACUUGUUGAAAGUUUUCGAGAACAGACUUCCGUGGUUCCUACUCUAAACCCUGCAAUGACAGUUAACGUCUUUCGAAUUAAGUGUUUACAUAGUUGUCAUACUGACCGUAACCUAUUUUUAUUGAAGGAAAGUAAAAUUAUUUUUUUAAGAAACGUGAACAUAAUCUUGUCAAAUGUUUCAAAGUUCAUGCAUUUCCAGAGAUUUUAUUUUGUGUUAUUCAAUGUAAUGGCUAUUUUACUGUUUAAACAAUUUGAAUAUAUCAUUCCCACUUUGAAUUGUGAGAGCAUGAAGGUUAUGGUAAAUUUAUAGCAAGUAUACUUAUUAAACUAAAAAAUGAAAGAGAUUGAAUUUUUUUUGAUACGAAAUGACAACAAUUGAUGCCGUUGAGAUUUACCAAAGCUUUUACUGUUUCAGCUUUUUGUCUGUUCUUCCUAAAAAAGUUUCAAGAUUUGAAUUUCAUUUACUGUAAUAUAUUUCCAUUCAGGACUAAACUUUUUUACUCGUAACUUUGUCAUUUAAACUUUACAGUUUUUUAAAAAUACUUUAUUAGUAAACGAGUUGUGUAUAAAACCAAAGGUUACAGCUAUGUGAAAGUUCUAAAAGUGUGGGUUUUUUUUCCUUCAUAGUUUGCUGUUUUACUUAUUCUACUUUAAAGUGGUAGCAAAUAUUUGUAUUGUAUGAUGAUACUUUUGAUAUUGUGUUUUCGAGCUUGCAUUGUAUAUGUUGUUCCAUUUUAUUACUUAUGUGAGACUUCUUUUACAUAAUGCAUAGUUACAUGCACUUCUGUGUCUUGUUCUACUCUUAGCCAUAAAUAAAUAGCUUAUUCCUGA